AUGUCAAUACUUGAAUUGGAAGCCUCGUAAGGUUUUGGGGGUUGAUUGCCCCAAUAAAUUUCAAGCUUCAAUGUAUAAAACGUUCAUGAAUAAACAACUGCAAAAAUUUUCAGACCGUGCUUGCACUUUGCGGGCGAUUUGAAUAAAAGAGCAUCUCCCGCGAAGGGUUCCAACUUCUCGUCGAUUGUGAGUUCGUCACCUGGUGUAUAAACGUUUUGACAGUUCUAAUUGAAAGAUUCAAAAAAUUCUCUUAGUGCAGCAAGCUUAUCAGUUUUUCUUCGCACAUUGAGCCUUUAUCGUCGAAUCUAAUGGCAGCACACAGUUUUCUGAAUCGCUGGAGACCCAUGACUCCUUGCAAAAUUUCAAAUCCAGUACCGUCUUUUGGCCAUGCUUCCUCCAAAUUGAGUUUUGACAUUUUUUUGCACCCUAAAAAAAAAUAAAUUUCCUAAAAAGGCCAACAUUUCUGCUGUAUUAUUAUCAUACAUGCUUUUCUUUGAGAUGUUUUGGAGAUCAUCUGAAGUCCUGUUACAUUUGAGAUAAAUGUUUGUAUAUUGUACGAUAGCAUCAAUCAUAUUUGUAUUUAUGAUUUUCUGGAAAAGCUCAUCAUUGAUAUCGUCACAAGUUUUGGCACUUGGGCAUAUUUCACUCAUCAAAUUUUUUCAAGGCGUUCUGGCGAAUUUGCUCUUCAGGGGAACUUUAUUCCACUUAUAAGUUCCUUUUCUUCUUUCAGAAACUUUUCUCCAACUUUCUUCUUUUUGUAAAUUGUUUUUUACAAAAACGUUGUCAUAUUUUAAAUCUCUCAUGUCAUUUUCAACAUCACUAAAAUCAUCACAUUUGUUGGGGAAACAUUACUUGAGGAAGGAAAAUGAGGAUGUUUAGAAACAUUUCCCUCAAUUUCUGAGUCACUUUCAUGAUCAGAAUGUUUGAUGACUUCCGAUUCAUCGACGUCAGAUGCGUUAUCCAAAUUGUAGGAGUCUUCAUCAGCCAAGACUUCUUCUAAAACGUGCAAAUAAUCUUCAGGAGGUACAAUUUUCUUUCUGUACGUACUUGGAGGUGCGGCGUACUGCAUUCGCCUACGUGACACGUUCACAAUAACUGCUUUCGAAAGGAAGGCAAAAACCAGACUGACCAGAAAUACCAGAUGCAUUGCACUCAUGAAAUGUUUCUAGGGUUGUAGAGGAAGGGAUGAAGCUCAGGAAAGGUUUGUCUAAAAAUUACAGACCAAAAGAUGGCAUUGGCGUACUCUGUACGCCGGCUCCUUCAUUGCAGGGUUUACCCUGCAAUAAACAUUUCUAACUAAAAAGUAGUAAUCAAGUUACAUUUGUAAUAUAAUAAAUGGGUUUAAGAAACAUAUAAGCAGAGCAGUCAUUUGCGUACUUUCAUCGAGACAAAAGAAUUUCCAGGUCUAAUUAUUUACUUAUUCAAGCUCGAUGGCAAAAGGCAAUUUAACAGAUCCAAGAUUCCCUUGGAUCUACCAGUGCCAAGGGGGCCCAUAGAUCUUCUGCGCCCAGGGCCCGAAAUGAGCUUAAACCACCAUUACCGAGUAUAUCAUGCAAAAAUAUUAACUUUACACUUAUAAAUCACCAGAAGAUGAAAAUUACCAUAAAGCUCAUGCUGCAUUAGACUUGUCAUCUAAUAUAUUUCUACUCAUAGCUUAUCACAUAUUUAAAAAAUAAGACUUUCUAACAAUAUGCAAUUAACAUUUUCAAGGAGUUCUUUUAAAAUUAGAGGAAACUAAAGAAGAGGUAACUUGCAUGAAAGCCUGCACUUGACAUCUGAUAGCAAACCGCAGACAUUAGAAGAAACAAAGAUAGAUAAGCUUUGUUAAUCCUUUGAAAUUCUCUAAAGAACCUUAUUAGAAAGUUUUUAUUUUUUGAAAGAUUGUAUAAGAUUUACUCUCCUUUAUCCUUAGUCAAAUUUCAUUCAACCAUAUGAGAGAAAAUGCAGUCAUUAUUUUUUAAUGGAAAAAUUGUGAAAAGGACAGUUAAACUAAUUCAGUACAACUUAUGGUGUAAGGAAUUAAUUAAGAAUAAUGAUGCUUGCCUAAAUAUACAGUUAAAAGUUUAACCAAAAACAUUAGAUCAAUAACAAGUUGAUAAUUUUUUUAAACAGUAAUAUGUUCCAGUACGUUCAGUUCUUUAAUAUGAUAUAUAUAGCCCUUUUAUUUAAUAAAUCCUAUCAAUAAAAUAAAUUUCUGUUCUUCAAUUAUUUAUAAAAUUUUAGUAUUGGGCAAUGUGUAUUUGUUUGUAUCUUGAUAUGAUUGGAUGCUUUCAACAAUUUAUUCUGAGGAUGUAUACUUAAUGAUAUAGACUGGGAUUGUCCACUCUGUGAACUGCAGUACAUUUCCGGGUCAGUUGUAAGUUAUCAGUUCUAUGAAUAUAUUGUUUUAUAUUUUACUCGCAUACAAAAUGAUCAUGAUGAAAGCUACAGAAAUACAAGUAGCUCAUGAUCCCCAAAAAGGUUGAGUUCUGAUACAAACAAAGAAAUGUCAGUAUUAUGCUGCUAAGACAUCUGAUGUUUCUAAUAAUGUAAAGAACAUUCAAGUAUUAGAAUCUAAUUCUGCUUUUGCUCAAAGAUAAUAAUUCUUCCAAUCUAACAAGUUUAUGCCUGUCAAGAUGAACGACAUACACUUUUUGAGGGCAAUACCACUAGGAAGUCUAUAUCGUAAAAAUUUAAAGGCACAUUUGUUUUUAUUCACAGUUUUUAAUUUCACAUUUUAUGCAAAACAGUAAUAAAUACAGAAAUAUCUGUUUAAUGGCCAAAAUUUGUAUCCCAUACUUUUAGUAAAAAACAAUGUGAAAGAAAGGUCAAUGGAAAAAUCAUGCAAACAUCAUGAAAUUACAUGUUGUAAAUAUACUUUUUCUCUGCAAAAGAUGAAAAUUAUAAAAUUUUCUAAAAAUAAAUUAAUAGAAAUUUAAGUAUCUAAUAUUUCUGGAUGUUUCCAAGUAGUUUAUAAAUUUGAUUAAAUUUUAGGAAAUAAAAGAAAACAAGGAGUUAUGUAUACUUGAAAUAGACAUUAAAUUAUUUUAGCAUGAACACAGAUUAUAAGUAUGAAGUUAUAAAAACAGAUAAUUUUAAUGUCUUUCUGCCACUACAACAUGAAGUAUAUGCAGUAAUAAUCUAAAUAAUCAAAAUAAAUAAAAAACUAUGUCCCAUCUAUUUGUAAUUUUUGAAUCUGAAAUACACUUUAUACAAUUAAUUGUAAGUAUUUAUUGAACCAACAUAACCAAAGGCACAAGUUAAAGCUAUAAUUACAACAAAUAUAUGUUAUAUAUAUAUGUAGAUAUUUCCAACUUAUGGUUUAAUUUAUGAAAAUGAAUUCCUUCACAAUAAUUAAAUUAUUAGUAUAUUAACUACAUAACCAUGACAAUAAAUGUAAACCUCUUCAGCUUUACUUAUCUAAAUAAAUUUUAUUUUAUCAAGUAAUGAAACAGCAUGAACAUGAUUUAGAAUGAGAAUGGAUAUUCAAAACAAAUUCCUUUAGUUCUAUUAUUCGGCACAGAAAGAACAACUUCAGAAUUAUGAAAUUUAACAACUGCUAGUAAUUACAUUGGCAUAUUCUUCUUGAUGCAAAUAUGAAAAAUAUCUUCUAAAAGAUGCCUCAAAACAGAUCAAUUCAUUAAUGCUACUGCAAUUAAAAAUUUCAAAACAAUACAGUCCCAGGCUAAAAGAGCAUGAUCAACAGUGAUAAUCAUAAAUCAAAACAUGGGGACUAGUUUUAAGACAUCAUGGAAAUGUUCAAUAAACUGGAUACCAAAGAACUGCCUAAAAUAAUUUCCCUUUAAACAGAAAGCAACUCCCAAAAAGUCACAGCACUCCAUCAAAUUACUAAGCAAAGUGAAAAAAUUUGCAAAAAAUAAUGUAUGUAAAAACAGUCUUACCUUUCCAUCCUUCAUUUCAACAGCUGCUUCCAUAGUGAUAAAACGUAAAACGCAAAUCCACCAAAAAUUUAAUGACUUUUACGUAAUUUUAUACAGUUUUAAAUACAGAAUCUCUUUAAUCAAAAAUACAUUUUCACAAACAUUGAUACUUCUGAAGUCGAUUAAUGAAGAGAUAUGAAUAGUGUGUGCAUCAUACAUUAAUUAAAAAAGCCAGUGAUAUCAUAUGCACCUAUAAUAUAAAUAUGCACAUAGCAUUAGAAUUAAUUAUCUAUUAACAAUCUGAAGAUGUAAUUCAUAAGAAAUCUAAGUGACUGAAUGAUACUGCCAUAUUUUACAUCAAACUUGCAUUAGAUUAGAACUGAAAGUGCAAUUAUUUUGUGAAAGUAUUUCCUGAAUUUAAAUACUAUGAAAUAAAGGAAUUCUUAGUAUGUGCAUUUCUUCAGUUCAAGACAUUGUUUAAGUUUGCAUUUAAAAGUGAUCAAUCAAAUAAAUUAUACAUUUUACUUGUAUUAGAAAUCUUUUCUUUCAGCAGGAAUAUUUAAGCUUGAGUUUCAAAUCAAAAUCCUGUUAAUCCAACUAGGACCAAUUUAGAUGUUCUGCAACACCUGCAUUUGCAAGGGUCCCAAACUUAGGCAGCCCACAAGAUGUUUUUACAUCGGAUAAUUUUUUGUACAUUUACUGAAAAUCUGCACAAUACCUAUCACAAAUUACAAUGCAACUUUGUGCAAGAAAUUAAAGGAGUAUGACAAUGGAUUAGUAUUACUAUUUAAAAAGUUUAAAUAAAAAUUUAUAAAAUUAAGUGCAGUUUCUCAUUGAAACAUUACUUCUGUAUUUUAAAUUCUUGAAACCAAAAUCGUUAACCACCAAAGCCACGGCAACUUGCCUGUUGUCAAUUCUCUUUUGAGUAUAUGUCCAAUAACAACUGCUAUCCUUUCUUCUGGUUUGGGGAGGGAGGGAGAGGAUUUGAUAUUACUGCUAGUGGGGUAAAUAAGGGUAUGAAAAAAUAUGCCAGUGCAUGGGAAGUAAAGCCUUAGGUGUACUUGUACUAUCUCAUUCUUGAUAAAGAACUCAUUACUAAAAAGGAACACGUUUCCAGUGUUUUGAGAAAAAUCUGGGUUUCGACCAAGCUGGUGUUCCAUUCUUGGGAUAUACUUUUUUUUUCACAUGUGUAUUUUACUUUGCCAGAAGUGGCUGAAAUAAUGCAGGAGUUCCUUCAAAACAAAACAAUUCUGUGUUUUAUGCUAGUGCCAUGAUCAACUAAUUGAGCAAGUCAUAAUAUUAUAACUUUCUGAAUUCUGCAAUUAAAUGAACUUUUAAUGAAUAUUUCAUUAUUUGGAAAUUUGGUUCAGUGUGGGCUGUAUAAAGAGUUUUACUUUUACUACCCAUCCCAUUGACCAUGCAAAAUUUGUUUUCAGAAAAUUAUACACCUUUUUUGGGGGAAAUCUUUUCGGCUGAUUUAGCGUUAAGGAAAUAAGCCAUUAGAGUCCUUUUUAGUAAACAAAUUAAAUGUCCCUUCUUUUCAAAUCUUGGAAUGAAACUUAAAUGAACUGAAAGUUGAUAUUCUGUCUGCUCUCAAGAGUGCCAGCUUAGAGAAGAGAUUAAUUAUUUUUUAUUACAUCACCACAGAUAAAUCAUAGUGUGAAUACCAUUAAGGCUUAACUAUGAAUUUACAGACUAAGACAACAAGAUGGUAUGUCCUUAUGGAGGUGAAUGAGAGUUUACGUUACAUAUUUUAAUAAGCGUCAUGUACAUUUACUGCUAGCAAAAGAUAUCCAUGCUUCAAAGCAAUUUUCCCGGCGAGGGGGGGGAGGAGGAAAAAAAAAACAAAUUUAUUCUCAGCCAAAACAAAAUUUUAAUAUUUUUCAUUUGGGAAGUCUGUAACCUUUAACAUUUUAAAGUUAAAAUGUUCGAGCAUGCUGUAACACAGUACUGAAACUAUGUACACUGCUAAAAAAAAAAAAAAAA